CAGCCGCCACGGUAAAACGAAGGGUGCAAGCGUUACUCGGAAUUACUGGGCGUAAAGCGUGCGUAGGUGGUGGUUUAAGUCCGUUGUGAAAGCCCUGGGCUCAACCUGGGAAUUGCAGUGGAUACUGGGUCACUAGAGUGUGGUAGAGGAUAGUGGAAUUUCCGGUGUAGCAGUGAAAUGCGUAGAGAUCGGAAGGAACAUCUGUGGCGAAGGCGACUAUCUGGGCCAACACUGACACUGAGGCACGAAAGCGUGGGGAGCAAACAGGAUUAGAUACCCGCGUAGUCCCUGUCUCUUAUAC
rnacentral:rRNA from 1 species